rnacentral:rRNA from 1 species
UACGUAGGUGGCGAGCGUUGUCCGGAUUUACUGGGCGUAAAGGGCGUGUAGGCGGCUCUGUAAGUUUGGUGUGAAAUCUCCCGGCUCAACCGGGAGGGUGCGUCGAAUACUGAGGGACUAGAGUACGGGAGAGGAAAGUGGAAUUCCUGGUGUAGCGGUGAAAUGCGUAGAUAUCAGGAGGAACACCGGUGGUGUAGACGGCUUUCUGGACCGUAACUGACGCUGAGACACGAAAGCGUGGGUAGCAAACAGG